CAGAGGGUGCGAGCGUUAAUCGGAAUUACUGGGCGUAAAGACGCGCGUAGGCGGCUUGUUAAGUCAAAUGUGAAAUCCCCGACGCUUAACUUGGGCGAUUGCAUUCGAUACUGGCAAGCUAGAGUAUGGGAGAGGAAGGUAGAAUUCCAGGUGUAGCGGUGAAAUGCGUAGAGAUCUGGAGGAAUACCGAUGGCGAAGGCAGCCUUCUGGCCUAAUACUGACGCUGAGGUGCGAAAGCAUGGGGAGCAAACAGGAUU
rnacentral:rRNA from 1 species